UGGUAGUGAGAACACGUAAAACUCUUAUCGAUAAGCCAUUGGAGGGCAAGUCUGGUGCCAGCAGCCGCGGUAAUUCCAGCUCCAAUAGCGUAUAUUAACGUUGUUGCAGUUAAAAAGCUCGUAGUUGAAGUGAGGGAGUGUGUGUUGUGAUCGAAUCGAUCGAGAGCAGUACAACCUCCCCCUUCCAAUGGGUGUAUUGGGGUAUUCAUUUACUUCAUUACUCCUUUGGUCGUUUACUGUGAGAAAAUUAGAGUGUUCAAAGCGGGCGUUUGUUUGAAUAGAUUAGCAUGGAAUAAUGAUUGAAGGCUUUCGUGUUCGAUUUGAUUGGUUUGUUCAUGGAAGCAAGGUUAAAAGGAACAGUUGGGGGUAUUCAUAUUCACUAGUUAGAGGUGAAAUUCUCGGAUUUAUGGAAGAUGAACAAGGCCGA
rnacentral:rRNA from 1 species